rnacentral:rRNA from 1 species
CCUACGGGUGGCAGCAGUGGGGGAUAUUGCACAAUGGGGGAAACCCUGAUGCAGCGACGCCGCGUGGGCGAAGAAGUAUUUCGGUAUGUAAAGCCCUAUCAGCAGGGAAGAAGAAAUGACGGUACAUGAGUAAGAAGCACCGGCUAAAUACGUGCGAGCAGCCGCGGUAAUACGUAUGGUGCAAGCGUUAUCCGGAUUUACUGGGUGGAAAGGGAGCGCAGGCGGCACGGCAAGCCUGAUGUGAAAGCCCGCGGCCCAACCGCGGGACUGCAUUGGGAACUAGCGGGCUGGAGUGCCGGAGAGGUAGGCGGAAUUCCUAGUGUAGCGGUGAAAUGCGUAGAUAUUAGGAGGAACACCAGUGGCGAAGGCGGCCUACUGGACGGUGACUGACACUGAGGCUCGAAAGCGUGGGGAGCAAACAGGAUUAGAUACCCUUGUAGUC